rnacentral:lncRNA from 1 species
GUUAUUCUUUGGAUGCUAGCUCCAGGGUGUCAACUAGCGUCUAUUUCUAGAGGUGGACAUAGCUAUCUGAGAGUUUUUAAAUCAUUUUCUUUUUCUUUCAUAAAUCAUAAUCAUCAUAAAUAGGUUGGAAAAUGAUAAAUAGCAUCAUAUAAUUUAAAAAUGCAUAAACAUGCCUCAAAUAUCAUUUUUCAUGCAGUCUAACAUAAUUAUAAUUUCAUAAACUCAUACACCAUCAUAUAUUCAUGAAGGAUGCCCUUUAAUCAAAUUCAUGAAUCACAUGCAAUCAUAUACUUGAUCCUAAUUUUGAGAAAAAUAUAUAUAACCAAUAUAUUUUCAUAAUUACAAAUAAACAGUAAUUUAAAAACUUUAAGAUCAGUGCCAAGGUUACUUACUGCAAUUUGCUUUUCAAUUUCUUACGUCCGGGUGACAAAUCCUUGAUCACCUAAAUAAAUCACAUAGGGGUCACAUUAUUCUCUAUUUAUUUCAUAAUUUUCUAAUUUAUCAUAACAUGAAUUUACUUAUUUAGAUCUCAAGUCCAAUUUACCUAAUUUAGAGGCCUUGGGCUCAAUUUAGAACCAGAUUGGGUUCACGUAGGUCAAUUGGGUCUUUAAUUAAAGAAUUGGGCUUGGUUCCUGAUUGGGUCUAGCCCUUUCGGAUCAAUUUGGUCUUCUGAUUAGGUUAUUAGGCUCAAUUUCAAGUCCAAUUAGGUUUAAUUUUGGUCCAGGGUCAAUGUGGCUUAUUUAGGCUUGAGUCAGGAUCAGCCCGAAGUCAAUUUGGUCUCAAUUUAGUUAAACUGGUUUUGAAUUGGGCUUGAUUCAUAUUCAAUUUGG